rnacentral:rRNA from 1 species
UACGUAGGGUGCGAGCGUUAAUCGGAAUUACUGGGCGUAAAGCGUGCGCAGGCGGUUUGUUAAGACAGGUGUGAAAUCCCCGAGCUUAACCUGGGAACUGCAUUUGUGACUGCAAGGCUGGAGUACGGCAGAGGGGGAUGGAAUUCCGCGUGUAGCAGUGAAAUGCGUAGAUAUGCGGAGGAACACCGAUGGCGAAGGCAAUCCCCUGGGCCUGUACUGACGCUCAUGCACGAAAGCGUGGGGAGCAAACAGG